UCUGCCCAUUUCCUACAACACCACAGCAUAGUUAAGUUGCAACUUUGCAAGCUAUCCAGUUGCAUGUCAAAAACCCAACUGCAGACAUGUUGGUGCUGGCUUCCUGAGGCAAGACUCUCGACUGGUGACUGGCUGACGGGGAUUCACGAGAAGCCUUGGCCCUGUCUUGAGAAAUCUGAAGUGGAGAAACCUGCUGCCUGGAGCAGGCAAGCACAUGCCACGUGCAAAGGGUUUCCUCUCGCAUGGCAACGUUGCUCCUGGAAACACGCAUUUCUCUUCCUAGAGAAUGCCACGGCGUUAAACUGAGAUUUCUAAAAGCUGCCUCAUGCUUUGGAGAGGCCACAUGAGACCACCCCAUUCUCUGCACGCGAGAAAUCGGCAAGGCAGGCUGUACCGGCCACUGAUUGCGUCGGCAUGCUCUUAUUCAAGGACUGCACACGCCUCGGAUUCAUGCGGCAGCCGUCUUUGCUCAUCAGGUGCACCUUCCAGGCCUGUGGGUGGGGGCAGAAGGCUUGGCAGCUGGAAAGAAGAGGGAGAGCCAUCAGAGAGGCAUUAUCACACAGGCUGUACGUAUCUAGUGCCGGUUCCCCUAUGGGUGCUGCUCUGGUUCUGCGCCCUCAGCAGAGGCAAAGCCGCUGUCCAACUGCGCCUUCCCUGCAUCCUCCCACACAACAACUUCUGUGGCUGGUUCUAAAGUUGAAGAAUUGGUGCAGAAUCUGAAGCAGGGAUGCAGGGCCACCACCAGCUCUGCUGAGAAGUAGCCAAGCUCCUGCCUUCAUCAACUGUCGUCUGGCAGCGGCAGAAGAGGCAAGAGCAGGGAUGCCAGCUCACGCCAUCGGCACAGCAGAGAGACGGGCAACUUUUGGCACCUCCUUUCCACGAACAACUUCAUCCCGGCUGCUCAUUAGAAGAACUUGUAACUAAGAACUUGAACCUGAGCUUGCUUAUUUCCUUCUUCCUCCCAAUCCAUUUUUCUUUUAUGUCAUGUCUUUUUUAGACUGUAAGCCUGUGGGUGCUCUGGGAGCUUUUUUUGGCUGAA